GAUGAACGCUAGCGGGAGGCCUACACAUGCAAGCCGAGCGGUAUUGUUUCUUCGGAAAUGAGAGAGCGGCGUACGGGUGCGGAACACGUGUGCAACCUGCCUUUAUCUGGGGGAUAGCCUUUCGAAAGGAAGAUUAAUACUCCAUAACAUAUUGAACGGCAUCGUUUGAUAUUGAAAGCUCCGGCGGAUAGAGAUGGGCACGCGCAAGAUUAGCUAGUUGGUGAGGUAACGGCUCACCAAGGCGAUGAUCUUUAGGGGGCCUGAGAGGGUGAUCCCCCACACUGGUACUGAGACACGGACCAGACUCCUACGGGAGGCAGCAGUGAGGAAUAUUGGUCAAUGGGUGCAAGCCUGAACCAGCCAUCCCGCGUGAAGGACGACUGCCCUAUGGGUUGUAAACUUCUUUUGUAUAGGGAUAAACCUACCCUCGUGAGGGUAGCUGAAGGUACUAUACGAUAAGCCC
rnacentral:rRNA from 1 species